UCCAUUGAUCCGUGUGUUGGUCCUAUUCCAGUGCUGUGGCCUCAGGGACAGUCACAAAGCCGGGCAGCAAAAGAGUUCUCCACAGAGCGCUGCUGGAGUCCGGGAGCCUGGAGUCUGUGAACCUGGAUGAGAAAACAGUCACAUCCAUAUCGGCACCGACUAAAUUCAGCAUCGCCCUGCCUUGUGAAUGUGAGCAGCAAAACCCAGUGAGGUCUGUGGUUUUGCCACCGACGUUAUCAACCACAAACCCUACUGGGUUUCCGAACAUCCUACCUUUAUUGCAGAAAUUUCAGGAUGGCAUUUGGACUCAAAUCACGGUAGUUCUUAAAUCCACCACUAGGUAUUCUUUUAAAUGUGCUAAGAAGAAGUUGGAGUUCCCUGGUGGCCUAGCUGGUUAGGGAUCCUGCAUUAUCACUGCUGUAGCUGGGUUAGAUUCCUGGCCUGGGAGUGUCUGCAGGCUGCUGGCCAAAAAAAAAGAAGAAGAAGGAGAAAAGGAAGAGGAAGGGGAAGAAAAGAAGAAGAGGCAUGUAUAUUAAAAAAUAGUUUGACAAAUUUCAGUGCAUUUGGCUUCCUUUAUAAUCCUACAUAUUUUGCUAUUUUGCAUUGUGCAUUUAAAAACAUGAUCCUGAGAAGGGGUGUCAAAAGCCUAGUUAAUUUUUUUUUUUUUUUUUUUUGGCUGUGCCCAAGGCAGGUGGAAGUUCCCCGGCCAGGGACUGAAUCUGAGCCACGACAGUGACCCAAGCCACCGCAGUGAAAAUGCUGGAUCCUUAACCUGCUGCACCACAAGAACACUCAAAAGCCUAGUUGAGGUAAUGCCGGGGAGCUGAUAUUCUGGAGCGCUGGCAGUCAUUUUGUGACUCUGAGGGUAAAGCUGACUCAGUGAGAAGGGCAGACUGAGGAGUGGGGGAAGUUCCAGGGUCCUUUCCCAGCUAUGACCAGAAUUAACCAACCGGGGAAAGUCCCCUCUUCUGGGCUUAUUUCUUGCUGUAACACAUGGCCUCGUUGUUUAGCCAGUUGAGUCAGGG
rnacentral:lncRNA from 1 species